rnacentral:rRNA from 1 species
UACGUAGGUGGCAAGCGUUGUCCGGAAUUACUGGGCGUAAAGCGCGUGUAGGCGGCUAUGCAAGUCGGGUGUGAAAUCCCACGGCUCAACCGUGGAAGUGCACUCGAAACUACGUAGCUGGAGUUCUGGAGAGGAAGGUGGAAUGCUCGGUGUAGAGGUGAAAUUCGUAGAUAUCGAGUGGAACACCGGUGGCGAAGGCGGCCUUCUGGACAGAAACUGACGCUGAGACGCGAAAGCGUGGGGAGCAAACAGG